rnacentral:rRNA from 1 species
GCUCAGAGUAUAAGCCAAUGGAGCUUGGAAGGCUUCCGCAGUCCGGGCAUCAUACGUGGUGUUCCGAAUGACCAAAGCGCGGUUCGUCAGGAGAAGCAUUGAGUUUGCCGACCAUCUGUCGUGCGGGGGUUCGGUUUGGGGGUCUCAGGCUUCGGCCGAAGGGCUCCCGGCCGUUCCCUUAUGAAUGGACGUUCAGAGCUACUGUGUCAAAUGCGGUUAUGCCCACCACAGCACGUUGUGAGGUCACCCACAGGCUCAAACUGCCGAUCGCGCAUCCAGGACGAUGGCAACGACGCGUUGUUUGUACUCGUUUACGAGUGAUCACGCGUGUCUAGUCCUGGGUCGGGCGGCGACCGAGAUAAACCUGGUACGAUCCUCGUGCGACGAGCUGCUUUCUGGCCAGACCGACGCCCAGGCGCUUCCACUGUGCCGGAAGCGUCAAUCCCAGGCGGUAUGAACCCAGCUGCAUUCUGCAAGGUCUCUCAGCCGGGCGUUGGUCUGAGUGGUGUUAAGUCCAGCACCAUCGGUCACGUCUCGAAACACGGGCCAAGGAGUAUAGCAUGUGUGCAAGUCUAAGGGUCUCCCAAAACCCGAAGGCGAAGUGAAAGCAAGACUGUGGCGGGGGAGCCACGGCGAACCCGCCGGCCUUGUGGCGCGCGCGCACGCUUCGGCUUGUGUGUGCGUUGCCUGGCUUAAAGCAGAGCUGAUCCUGUUUUCUCGGUGAAUUCUUGGUGCAGGCGCAAGCUCCGGGCUCACGUACAACACUGGUCACGCCUCGUG